GGCCUAAUGGUCUAGUAGUAUGAUUCUCGCUUUGGGUAGAACACUGAGCUCGAUGCUGCCACCCACGUGCGAGAGGUCCUGGGUUCAAUUCCCAGUUGGGCCC